GACGAACGCUGGCGGCGUGCUUAACACAUGCAAGUCGAACGGAAAGGCCCUGCUUUUGUGGGGUGCUCGAGUGGCGAACGGGUGAGUAACACGUGAGUAACCUGCCCUUGACUUUGGGAUAACUUCAGGAAACUGGGGCUAAUACCGGAUAGGAGCUCCUGCUGCAUGGUGGGGGUUGGAAAGUUUCGGCGGUUGGGGAUGGACUCGCGGCUUAUCAGCUUGUUGGUGGGGUAGUGGCUUACCAAGGCUUUGGCGGGUAGCCGGCCUGAGAGGGUGACCGGCCACAUUGGGACUGAGAUACGGCCCAGACUCCUACGGGAGGCAGCAGUGGGGAAUAUUGCACAAUGGGCAGGAGCCUGAUGCAGCAACGCCGCGUGCGGGAUGACGGCCUUCGGGUUGUAAACCGCUUUCGCCUGUGACGAAGCGUGAGUGACGGUAAUGGGUAAAGAAGCACCGGCUAACUACGUG
rnacentral:rRNA from 1 species